GAGAAGGAAAAAUGACUCCACGGUGCUGUGUGGGGUCCCCGUCUCUGCGCAGCAGUCAUGCUCCAGGGAGGGGCUCUGUGGAUCCAGAUGCAGCUGAAACAGAACAACACAAAUGGAAAACGCACGCACACACACUAACUGAAGGAACAAGGAAGCAUUCGGUGGGUGCUCUCUUUCUGGCUUUGUGGAAGAAGAUUCACGAUGGUCCAGCCUCACUCAGAGGCCAAAAACUAAUGACAAUGGGAAUGUUGACAGGAGAAAAAAAAGAUUGCAAAGGAUUAAAAGUCCAUUUACUGAUAUUUUAUAUUCUACUGUGCACAGUCUUUGCAUAACAAAAUUUCAAGAACAGAGAUGGGCCCUAAAACAGCCCUCAAAAGCUGCUGCUUCAGCGUGUGACCCUCGCUGGGCUCUCCAGCACCCAUCACUGACCACGUGGCGUUUACUCUAGAGAAUCGACAUGUCUGACCGUGGUCUUCCAUCCCUCGUGGCUCUCUGGAUGCCAAAUGGCAUUGCUGGCCGGGACGGUUCUCAGUUUUUGUUUCCCGAAGCGUGUGUCUUAAAGCUGUUUCUCACACCAUUAAGUUCAAUAAGGACAAGCAAGCCAUGGACUCUGCCCUCAAGGAGCUGACGUGCUGUCAAGGGAGAGACACCUAGACAACUGGCUGAAGACAGUCAAGGAAAUGCAGCGCUCUUUGCAGAAACCCAGGGAGAAAGUUCACAAAUCUUCUGAAGGAAUUAGAAAAACUUUUGCAGAUGAGGUGACAUUAGAGUCUGCCCUUGACCAUUGAAUUUAUUCCGCAGAAAAUAUGUCAGAGGGAAAUGGGGAGAAAUUAAGAAGCAAACUCACAUGAGUCUCUGAACUAGCAAGGGCACGUAACUGGUUACCAGAAAUAAAUCAGGAGAGAAGCUCCAUCCCGGAAGGAUGGGAGCUGUGACUUAGGACAUUACAGUAGAAGGAAGGUCUCAUCCUUCUGUCAGCUCCCCAGUCUCUAACGAGUAAAAAAUCAUCAAAGAAAACAAAAAUGUUACACUCUAGCCACUAUUUGAGUAUUUAUUGUGUGCAAGGCAUAGUGCUAAUUUCUUUGCACAGGAUAUCCCAAUUGAUUCUGUCAACAGCUCGUACAGUUGGGUAUUAUUAUUUCCACUUUAUAGCUGGAAAAAACAAAGAUUAGCAAAGGCUAAAUAAACUUCCUGAGGUCACUUGGCUGGUGGGUGGUAUAAGAGGAUCAAAUCCAUGCUGUCUAACCCAAAGUUCACGCCUGCCCUCAGCCAGCACCUCCCACUAUCUCCAUCACACAGGGGUGUGCGGGGAAGAACAUCAAGAACCCAGGUGUAUCUGGUCCCUCACGUCCAGGAGGAAGACUCAGGGUGGGGGAGCCAGGAAGGAAUCUGCAGAGACUGAGUUCAGAGCACUCGCCUCGUCAGUGUUUUCAAAGUGACAGAGACCACCAAAUGCCAGUCUUCCCUCUGAGAAAGCUAUGACUUUAGCAAAGCCGGAGUUCAGUGUCACAGCCCAGGAGCCUAUCACUGUUCAAGUCUUUUCGUUAGAGCUCAAGGACAGUCUUCUGACAUUCACUUUCCUUGGUGUGUGACCACUAAAUCCUGGCUUACACACACGGAAGCCAAUGUUCCUGGUCUCUACCUUUAACUCUCCGCUGAUUUUGUUACUUUCUUCUGUUUUUAGUGCUUGGGCUUUACAUCCAACCUGGAACUCUCCACUGCUCCACUGUCCGUAACUGCAGAUUGCACUGCUGGGGAAACGUGAGGUGAUGGGGGUGAGAGACUGUCAAUUUGGCUGAGUGUUCCUGCUAGAUAACCAAAGGGAGAAGGUGUGCUGCCAGCCACGGUCUUUCUGCAUUUCCGUGGCCCACAGGCUGCAGGAAAGAAGUGUCUGGCAGACUCUCUGGUUCUAUUACAGGAACAUCUCAGGGAACUUUCCUCUGCCACCAGCAGGACAAUGCCCUCUGAGGGUGACAGGCAGACUGGGAAGACGUGGUGGAGCUGAGCCCUCUGCCAUCAGCAGGACAAUGCCCUCUGAGGGUGACAGGCAGACUGGGCCGACGUGGUGGAGCUGAGCCCUCUGCCAUCAGCAGUGCAAUGCCCUCUGAGGGUGACAGGCAGACUGGGAAGACAUCGUGGAGCUGAGGAGAUGACCACCCUGCCCCUACACAAUGCAGAGAACACAGCCUGCACAAAUGAGAGACCCAGGCUCCUGGGUCGUAAUUCCUCUGAGGUUCAGCAUCCCUGUCUGCAGCGAAGCAGGUGGCUGUGUGGAACUGAGGCCCAGGAGAGAGAUGGGGAUGGAGGCAGCAGUGAAGAGUUGUUUUGAUGGUGGGGGAGGGGGGUUGAUAAUGUGGGAGUGGGUGAGAUAACUCUGCAGGAAUGCCGAUGUGCUGGAUGAGAAAACUAGAGUGAAGAUGGAAACACCAAGGUUACAGGCAUGAGGCACGGAAGAAAAUCCCCUGGGAACUAGGGGCAGUCAGGUGGGCAGCACAUUGUCAAAUGGGGAAGAGGUUCCGCCGCCGGCAUGAUACUCUAAUUACAGUGUCAAAUGAUGCGGGAGGACUGAGUGUUGGAAGGCUGGUGGAUCUGUCGGGUGGAGGUGAGCUGGCAGCCUUAGCACACGCAAUCUGAGAGCGUGGCAAGUGUGGAAGCCAGGUCGCUGCUUGCUGAGGUCGACUAGAGGUGAGGAAGUGGUGAAACGCCUUCCUUGUCUCUGCUGGUAUCGAUUUUUACUGUCAUUCCUGCCACAGAAAUGGUAGGAGGAGAAACAGGAUGGCUUAGCGCCGUGGGUGCAGCAUUACUGUCACCUUGAGAAGGGUUUAUUCAACUUCUACCUUUUUAUAUUAAUGUCUGGACAUCUCCCCAAACCAAUAAAAUCUGAACCUCUGGGGAUGGGGCCCAGAUAUUGAUAUUUUUAAAUAGCACUUCAGGUGAUUCUAAUGUUUAGCUAGAAUUGAGGACCAUUGGAUUAGUUAGAUAAAAUUGUAGGUUCUAGAACCAGCUUUUGUUUAAAUGUCAGCCUCACCAUCUGCUGGCCCAUGACUUCUCUGAGCUUCAGUUUCCUUAUCAGAGAAGUAGGAAUAGUGACAGUGUUUUCCUCGUUGGGUUGUAAGAAGGCUUAAAUGAUAUUAGGUAUGUAAAAUAUUUGGCAUGACGCUAUCUAUUAUCGGUCAUUGUUACUGUUUUUAUCAUUAAAGCAGUCAUCUGUUUUA